GAGCCGUGGCCCUGUGGCAGCAGUUCUGUUUGUGACACUGAGUUAUCAGUGACAGCCCAGGUCUUGGUGGGCUUGCGGCCCCAGUGCAGCGCCAUUGGAAAACAGAGGUGGAACGUUCACGCUCUGCUCCUUGUGCUGCACGCUCUGUCAGAGGCCAAGUGCUGGGAGUGAAUCAGCGAGUUGUGAGGGUUUGACACCGGUCAGUGCUUUAUUUAUUUGCUGUGGCUGUUUAGAAACUGUCCGAAUUUCUGUUAGCACAAUGGGAAGAUGUUUUGCAUCCAAAGGAUUAUUGUCAGGAACAGCUGAGAAAAUUCGUUGUUAGGAAAACAGCUGAGCAAACACACAACAUGGAGUCGUAUGCUGGCUGUUGUGCUUUACUGCAUUUAUGAUCAUCUGUGGCUGUAUAGAUAGAGAAUGGCCGGGUUAUCUUUAGAGCUCCCCUGGGAUUUGAAUUCACACAGAGACAGAAAUGACCUGUUUGUUUUCAGUCCUAUUUCUUCAUCAUUUUGCGUGUUGUAAAAGUUGUCUUGAUACUGAUUAUUUAUCGACAAAGGGAAAUAUUACUUGUUGCCCACCUGUUCACAGUGCAAGAGGACUUGUCUGCUUAUUUUUCACUCCAUUCUCUUCCUGCUUCUGUGCUGCAUGCAGGGCAGAUUGUAUUGCUCUGCAACACCGGAUGUGCUGAAAUACCAUCACCUUGUCUCUGUUUAACUUUACCUUUGCAGGUGCAGAAAUCCGUGGCUUUCUGCUUCUAGUGCAGAUUACGUGUUGUAUCCGAGUCCUCAGAGUAGUGCAAACCGAACUGAAGUGGCUUUUUGCUUUGACAGCCUUGCAGUCUCUGACUUUCUGGCAGUACUCAGUGAUGGCUUUCAUUUUCCAAAAAGUGUGAGUAGUUUGGAGACUCUCAAAGCUACAUUUACGGUAAAUGAUGCUGCAGUAAUGAUGGGUCAAUUCAGAUUCAGACUGUAAUAUGGGGGGAAAAAAAAGCCAAACACCUUCAAUAAAGAAUAACGUUAAAGUGACUUCAGACAGCAACUUAAUAGUUCCGUAUCAUUAUGUGUGUAAUUAAAAGCCUUUACCCUUGAAAACGGAGUUGCCUGGGUUUGUUAAUCAUCAUUCUUUACUACGGUGAAAUAGACUGAGGUAAAUUCUUACGGUGUUAAGAAUGGCUUCAUGCUGUAAUGUGAAAAUCCAUUUUUCACAGAGCAACAAUUUCUCUCUUAAUGCUUUUCUCCACUCUUGGUGCUGUCUGAAAUGAUGGCAGUGUCACCAUAACACGAAGGCUUCAAGUGUAACAUUCCCAGCAUUAUCUUCAGCUGCGCUUCAACUCUGCUCUGUAACAUCUGUUGAAAAGCACUGGGCUGGGUGACCCAAAGCAUCUGAUAACACAGCAGCAGAAGUUACUCGUGUCACAGUGAGCUCUACCCAAAGACUCCUCUCUGGCUUCAGUUGCUCUUGUUGCAUUAAGGGGACACCUCACACAAAUUAAGUUUAUUUUUUAAGCAGGUAACCAUUACUUCUUUGUGUUAAUGGUCCCACAGAGCUUCAGUGCCUGAACUGUCCUGCAGCUGGAAUAUUCCCUCUACCCUGAGGCAGCUUUUGUGCUGCUGGAAGUGGCUUUGGGGGAGGGAGGGAGGGAGGAUGUGGUUGGGAUUGAAGUGUUACGGUCAUCUUCUGGGCAGACUUGCUCUUUAGGGUUCAGCUGUUUCAGUCAUGUUGGCAAAUCUCUGCUCUAUCCAUCUUUGUCACCCACACAAUUGAUUGCACAGAACAUUUUGCUCCUUUGGAACCUGUCACAUAAUGAAGAUUUUUUUUUUUUUUAAACUAUCUCUUUACAUUUAGCUUUUAAAAAGUAGUGUAAUAAUCGUCCUUGAAAGCAGUUUGAAAUGGUGCUGGACAGUAACUGCUGCUGUUGGAUAGAAGCUGUUACAAUCAGGCUUUUUUUGGAAGCCCUCUCCUUGCAUCCAGGCCCUCAGGACAUGAAGUGCCAGGUGUGUUGGAUAGCAAACCCUGUGGGAGCUUAGUGCUGCUCCUGUGCUUGCCCAAGUCUUGCACCCAUGUCGUGGCUAUUUGAGGGACUGAUAGUGUUCUGCAGGGAAGAUAAACCUGCAAAAGGAAAGCAUGAGAGAAGCCAGUGGCAGAGCUGGAGCUUUGCCUGGAUGUCAGGAGAGCUUCCAUGUGGCUCUGAGGUCUUUGGAGACCCCAUCUACAGCUCUGAGCACACAGUAUUCCCUUUGUAAACCUGCCCCAAGAUCCUUCUGGAAGACGUCUGGUUUUUGAGAAUUCCCAUUUAGCUGCAGGCUGGCCAGAUCCCAUCAGAAACUGGUGACCUUGAUGAUGCUGCUUUAGUGAUGGCCAGACCUUAGAGCUGCAGGAAAGUGAAUUCCUAUCCAAAAUGUGGUAUUUCACCUUGAGGUAAAAUCAGCUACGGAGUAAAUCUGUGCUCCAUAGGAAGUCCAAAACAAGGCUUUUAUUAAAUUUUACCCGGAGCUUGUAUAACAGUGUUACACAUGGCUCAAUCAUUAAAAUAAUAAUAAAAAAAUCACUGGUGUGGUUUCAAAGGCAGGAAAUAAAGCAGGGUCUGUGCAGCAGCUAGGCGUUAAUUAAGGUAGAACUGAGCGCUGUUAUUUCAGCCAACUUGCUGGUGGGGCCACGUCACACUUCCUUCAGCUCUGCCAGGAGCUGCUCCCUCCUUGUGCUGGCGGCCUCUGUCCAUCUCAGCUCUUGCUAAGCCUGCUCACAGUGGCUCUGGCUGCUGCUGGGCCCUCAAGUAACGAGCCUGGUAACUCAAAUAACGAACAGGCUGGUAGGUUUGGUGGCUUGAGCUCUCCCUCAACUUACUCGCCAUGCUGAUGUGUCCUAAUGUUGGUCUGUUUUCUGAGGUGACAAGCCAUAGGGUUUGAGUAAGCAGCCUCAAACUGUGCCAAGGGAGGGGCUUAGAUUGGAGAUGAGGAAGGAUUUCUGCAUGAAAAAGGUUGUUAGGGGUUGGAAAGUGCUGCUCAGGAAAGUGGAGUCCCCGUCCCAGGUGGUAUGUAAAACAUGUGGAUGUGACGUGCUUUAAUGGUGAACUUGUGUUAGGUGAUGGUUGGACUUGGUGAUCAUGAAGGUUAUUUCCAACCUAAAUGAUUCUAUGACUCUGAACUACAGGUUUGAGAGGCUUUUCAACGCUCCAGCAAUCUGUAGAGUGUUGUCUGUAUAUUGAUCUUGUGUCCUUUUUCCCUACUGCUGACAAGCAAUAUGAAUGCUGCACGCUCUCAUCUGCCGUUCUGUUGUUUGUUUGUUUUUAAUGUCUCAGUAACACGCAUUGCCCCAGGGGGAAAUUUAAAUGAUAAAAAUUAAUCCUUGUUGGAUUGUUUGCUUGAAUUUCAAGCUAUUUUGCAGUUCCAGAAGCACGAUGGUGUCAGUCGCAGGAUCCAGGGGCCAGGUUAAUCCAAAGUGAUUUGCAAAUGCUUGUAAUUUGGGCUGUGGUGAGAAACUAUUCAGCUUAAGGUGGCUAAUAAGUUCAUGCUGUAAUGUGGAUGAUAAUAAGUUCUUCAGACGUCUAGACGUGUGAUUACACCGAGUGCAGCUAAAUGAAAUCUUCUGUGCACGUGUUACUUGUAGGAGAUCCGAUGCCCGGCAGCAUCAGUGCGGUGGAGGCAGUCAGCUGUGCAAAAGGAGACAACAGAUUGCUGUGAAGUCUGGUUGGAGGGUUGUCGGUGCAUUUUGAAGGCUUUUCUUGUGCAACCAACCAUUGGAAGGAGACGGAAUUUCUCAGCCCCUUGUUUCAAGCGACUUCAGCCUGUUCUCUGCAGCUCAGCUCCCUCUGCUCCCCCACCCUGGUGAACAAAAGACCCUAAUUGGAGGAUGAGGCAGCUGAGAGGAAAGCCCAAAAAAGAGACCUCCAAAGAUAAAAAGGAGAGGAAACAGGCGAUGCAAGAGGCCCGACAACAGAUCACCACGGUCGUGCUUCCCACGCUGGCUGUUGUAGUACUGCUGAUUGUCGUGUUUGUUUAUGUAGCAACUCGUCCAAAUACAACUGAAUGAUGCAGCUUUUCAGACCUUCUAACUUUGGGGUAUUAAUACUUUUUAUCAAGAGCCAAAAGAAACUCUCUGCCACUCUUAAUGCUUCACAAAGGAACUUGCUGGUACCUUCGGUCUUUCUCUUGGUUAGGAUUCCACAGUUUCUCUUUAGGAAUAUAACAUAAAACGUAUUAGUGAAUGUGCCAGUACGUUUUAUGGUCCAGCUCAUGUGCCUUUCAGACUUUUACAAUAGUGUUUUUCUUAAAUCUGUUUGAAGUUCUAUAUUGUAAAAGGAAAUUCUGUUCCGCUAUAAAUUUGUAAAAAAAAAAAUCAGCUUUCAGCUUUUAUCACUGUUGCGGAUAAUGUUGCUCCCAUGAGCUCUUGUAUGUCUAUUUCAGAACUUCCAAAGAAGUACAUUUUUUCUUUGUACUUAAUGUCAUAUGAAACACUUUGAUUCAGAAAGGAUAUAUUUAUUUUUUUGAAUAAAAGAGAGAAGUACUUGGAAUCUUAUUUUGCAAAAAAAAAAAAGAAAUGUGACUUAUUGUGAAAGACUACAUUGUGUAAUAAUUUUUUCAUUAAACACUAUAUAGUUCACUCAAAAAGAACUUCUCUUUGCAGCGAGAUGCGUGCGUGCCAAGUGAACACUCAGGACCCACCGAAGUUGGGAAAGCAGAUUCUACCAUUUCUGCUGAUUUUAGUGAAGCAGCUAACUCCAAACUGCAUAAGCACAGUACGAGUGUUAAGUAUUUAAAUCCAUGAUGUGGCAGUAAAAAGUGGUUUUGGAUACAG